UAUUGUCUCUAGAUGGUCAGCGAUUGCAGCAAAAUUACCAGGAAGAACGGAUAAUGAGAUCAAGAACGUAUGGCACACUCACUUGAAGAAAAGACUCGAAGAUUACCAACCCGCUAAACCUAAGAGCAGCAAUAAGAAGCAGGGUACUAAACCUAAAUCUCCAUCCGCAGCGGCGAAACUGAACAGUACUAGAAGUGAAUCGGAGCUUGGAAAUUCAUCAAACCCUUCUUUUGAAAGCUUGUUCUCGGCAUCACCUUCGACAAGUGAUGAGGUUUCUUCGGUGACACUCAUGAGCCACGAAGGCCAUAACAACGAGGCUAAGAUGGAUAACAAAUUGGGAGACAUCAGUACUGCGGACCAAGAUUGUUUUUCUUUCGAAAAUUUUGGAGCAGAUAUCGACGAGAGCUUUUGGAACGAGGCGCUAUAUAGUCAAGAUGAACAUAAUUACGCGUCGAAUCUUGAAGUGACUGGUUUUGAUGAUGAGACACAACAAGAGUUUCAGCAGUUAGGCUCCGUUGGAAAUGAGAUGGUUUUCGACAGUGAGAUGGACUUCUGGUACGAUGUAUUCGUGAGAACUGGAGGGGAGCAAGAACUAUUAGCUGGGAUAUAAUUAAUUAAUUGUUCGACAGUGUCCGUAAAACUUUAGUUGUAUUAGUUUGGUUGUAGGUAAGUCGGUUGUAACGGUAAAGUUGUUACUUGUUAGUGUAAACUUUUUUGCAAAAACUUUUGUUGUAAUUAGAUGUGUUGUAGUUGUAAGUUAUAGGUCGUAGAUAUUUUAAAAUAAAAUAUGUAAUGUAUCUAUAAAAUAAUUAUAUUUAUCAAUUAAAAUCAUUUAUAUUAAUUAUUUUAUAUAUUAUCAAAGUUUACUGUUAUUUAAAAUGUGAUAUUUAAAUAAUAUUUAUGUUGUCAAAUUAUUUAUUUUAAAUAUAUUUUUGCAGUCACUAGAAAAAUCACACCCAUUGAUUCCCACAUGCAAUAUAAUAUAUGUACAUACUUUUUGACUUUUGUGCCUCUAACCAAAGAAAUCAUCUCUCUCUCACACAUCUCCUUCCGGGAGGCUUACCAAAUGCUUUUGAAUUCUCGCACAUGCCUUUUGACAAAUGCAGUAUAAAUACUCAAAACCAUAUAAGGCAGUAAUUCUCAGGCUCAUCAACAACAUUGAUCAUAUAGCUCAUAAGCAUUUGAUCACCACAAUCUCUCUCGAUCCUAUACUCAGAAUACAAAACUUCAAACUUUUCACCAGCAAUCAAAACACAUCAUCAGAAGAUGGGAAGAGCUCCAUGCUGCGAGAAAAUGGGGUUACAGAGAGGUCCAUGGACGCCUGAAGAGGAUCAAAUCUUGAUCUCUUUUAUUCACAAACAUGGUCAUAGUAACUGGCGAGCCCUCCCUAAGCAAGCUGGUAUGAACAAAUUAAAAGCUAUAUAUAUAUAUAUAUAUAUAUAUGUGUGGAGUCCAAUUUCCUAAAUCUCUUUAUAAAAUUUCUUAACACUGAUGAUAACUACUAAUUACAGGACUUUUGAGAUGUGGAAAAAGCUGUAGACUUAGGUGGAUGAACUAUUUAAAACCUGAUAUAAAAAGAGGCAAUUUCACCAAAGAAGAGGAGGAUGCUAUCAUUAGCUUGCACCAAGUCCUUGGCAAUAGGUAUAUUUACUUUACACACUUCUGUUUUUACAUAUGAAUUUAUACACGUAUGCCUAUAUACGGUUUACAUACAUCCAAAACACAUACGAUAAUGAUCAUCACAAGAAACAUGUCUUGGUCCACUAUUAUAUAAAAGUUAGUAUACAAUUAUCGGCUCUUUUGGAAAAUUUGUAUUAAAAGUUCUUUUUUUUCUUGGUAUUGUCUCUAGAUGGUCAGCGAUUGCAGCAAAAUUACCAGGAAGAACGGAUAAUGAGAUCAAGAACGUAUGGCACACUCACUUGAAGAAAAGACUCGAAGAUUACCAACCCGCUAAACCUAAGAGCAGCAAUAAGAAGCAGGGUACUAAACCUAAAUCUCCAUCCGCAGCGGCGAAACUGAACAGUACUAGAAGUGAAUCGGAGCUUGGAAAUUCAUCAAACCCUUCUUUUGAAAGCUUGUUCUCGGCAUCACCUUCGACAAGUGAUGAGGUUUCUUCUGUGACACUCAUGAGCCACGAAGGCCAUAACAACGAGGCUAAGAUGGAUAACAAAUUGGGAGACAUCAGUACUGCGGACCAAGAUUGUUUUUCUUUCGAAAAUUUUGGAGCAGAUAUCGACGAG
rnacentral:lncRNA from 1 species